UACAGAGGUCUCAAGCGUUGUUCGGAUUCAUUGGGCGUAAAGGGUGCGUAGGUGGCAUGGUAAGUCGGAUGUGAAAUCCCGGGGCUCAACCCCGGAACUGCAUUCGAUACUGCUGCGCUAGAGUACUGGAGAGGAGAUUGGAAUUUACGGUGUAGCAGUGAAAUGCGUAGAUAUCGUAAGGAAGACCAGUGGCGAAGGCGGAUCUCUGGACAGUUACUGACGCUGAGACGCGAAAGCGUGGGGAGCGAACAGG
rnacentral:rRNA from 1 species